AUACGGAUGGUGCGAGCGUUGUUCGGAAUUACUGGGCGUAAAGGGCGCGUAGGCGGCGAUGUAAGUCAAAUGUGAAAGUCCUCGGCUUAACCGGGGAAGUGCAUCUGAAACUGCAUUGCUUGAGUAUGGGAGAGGAAAGUGGAAUUCCCGGUGUAGAGGUGAAAUUCGUAGAGAUCGGGAGGAUUACCGGUGGCGAAGGCGACUUUCUGCACCAAUACUGACGCUGAGGCGCGAAAGCGUGGGGAGCAAACAGGAUUAGAAACCCUAGUAGUCC
rnacentral:rRNA from 1 species